rnacentral:rRNA from 1 species
AGAGUUUGAUCCUGGCUCAGCCUGUACGCUGGGGAGGCCUAACACAUGCAAGUCGAACGCCCUCUUUCGGGAGGGAGUGGCGCACGGGUGAGUAACGCGUGGGAAUCUGCCCUUUGGUUCGGAAUAACCCUGGGAAACUAGGGCUAACGCCGGAUAAGCCCCUGGUUGUGAGAUUGGGGGGAAAGUUUACGCCGAAGGAGGAGCCCGCGUCCGAUUAGCUAGUUGGUGAGGUAAGAGCUUACCAAGGCGACGAUCGGUAGCUGGUCUGAGAGGACGAUCAGCCACACUGGGACUGAGACACGGCCCAGACUCCUACGGGAGGCAGCAGUGGGGAAUAUUGGACAAUGGGCGCAAGCCUGAUCCAGCCAUGCCGCGUGAGUGAUGAAGGCCUUCGGGUUGUAAAGCUCUUUUGGCGGGGACGAUGAUGACGGUACCCGCAGAAUAAGCCCCGGCAAACUUCGUGCCAGCAGCCGCGGUAAGACGAAGGGGGCAAGCGUUGUUCGGAAUUACUGGGCGUAAAGGGCGCGUAGGCGGCUCUUUUAGUCAGGUGUGAAAGCCCUGGGCUCAACCUGGGAGUGGCACUUGAUACUGGAGGGCUAGAGAGUGGGAGAGGUUGGUGGAAUUCCCAGUGUAGAGGUGAAAUUCGUAGAUAUUGGGAAGAACACCGGGCGAAGGCGGCCAACUGGACCAUUUCUGACGCUGAGGCGCGAAAGCGUGGGGAGCAAACAGGAUUAGAUACCCUAGUAGUCC